GGCGCCGUACCCAAGUGGCUAAGGGAGCGGAUUGCAAAUCCGCGAUGCAUCGGUUCGAAUCCGAUCGGCGCCUCCA
rnacentral:tRNA from 1 species